UAGCCGUCAUAUCGUCGACCCCUGGAUUACGAUAAAAACAAUACUAAAUUAUGAUACUAUAGUGAAUUUAAAAAAAAAAGGAUUCAUGUCUUUGUUUAGAAAAUAAGGUCGCAUACCUUAGCACAUCAAAACAUACAGGGUGUGUGUCCAUUCACGUGACCAGACGUAAGUUUCCCUUAUAGAAGGAUGCAUUGCGCUAGGCUGCCGCAGAAAACAGAGAAAUGCAAAUUUUGAUCAAAAAAGUUCAUUGCAGCCCUCGGCUAGGAGGAAAACUAUUGGUGCAGAACACCUUCGUCUUUCUCAAGGCACGAUUUAUCCUAACGCAAUAAUGUCACAGUUUAGCUUAAUAUUAGAAAUUAAAAUUCCAAAGCAAGAAGCUGAACGUAUAUAUUUUAAGCAGAUAAUGUUAGCAAUAGUUUUGAUUACAUAUAGAAUAUAUUUCACUUACGUAGAUUUCAGAUGAUUUCUGUUGCAUGUAAAUUUUACUUUUGAGCGGAAAACGACCUUCUUGUGCCAAAUAACUUUGCGUUUCAUCAUUGAUUUGCAACUUCUGCAGCGAUUUGUUCAGUUGAUGAGUUUGAAUUAGCAAAUAACCUGUAGCUACUGAUAAAAGUAAGACUGCAGUCCCCAGCACUUUCAUGAGAUUUGAUGUAUAAUUUCCAUGGCUACAAUUUGCACCGCAAGUAGAGCUUUCCUGAAUCGGCAGACACGAACACGUGCUUUCCAAUUUCGGUAAACAAUUGCACUCCAUUUAGCGCUGGGAUUUUCCCGUUAUUCGGUCGCACUUAAGUUUCAGUUUCGUUCUACAUGUAGGUUUGAUGCUUGU